rnacentral:rRNA from 1 species
GAUGAACGCUAGCGGCAGGCCUAACACAUGCAAGUCGAGGGGUAGCAGGAUUAAGCUUGCUUAAUUGCUGACGACCGGCGCACGGGUGCGUAACGCGUAUGCAACCUACCUUAUACUGGGGUAUAGCCCGGAGAAAUUCGGAUUAAUCCCCCAUAGUACUAAUGAAUCGCAUGGUUUAUUAGUUAAAGCAUUGCGGUAUAAGAUGGGCAUGCGUCCUAUUAGCUAGAUGGUGAGGUAACGGCUCACCAUGGCUACGAUAGGUAGGGGGCCUGGGAGGGUUGUCCCCCACACUGGUACUGAGACACGGACCAGACUCCUACGGGAGGCAGCAGUGAGGAAGAUUGGUCAAUGGGCGCAAGCCUGAACCAGCCAUGCCGCGUGCAGGAAGAAUGCCCUAUGGGUUGUAAACUGCUUUUAUUUGGGAAUAAACCUCUUUACGUGUAGAGAGCUGAAGGUACCAAAUGAAUAAGCACCGGCUAACUCCGUGCCAGCCGCCGCCGUAA